rnacentral:lncRNA from 1 species
AGUGGGAUGUCUCCAAACAUUCUCCAACGUGCACUCCCAUCCAUGGAUGAGCUGAGCAAAAUAUAUCUCCAUGAUCUCCAACACAUACUCUUUAUCCACAGACGAGCCAAGCAUGAUGCAUCUCCACGGUCUCCAACACGCAAUCCUCAUCUAUGGAUGAGCUAAGCAAAAUACGUCUCCACGAUUUUCAACACAUGCUCCUCAUCCAUAGAUGAGUCGAGCGCGAUGCAUCUCCA